UUCUUCUAUUGACAAAAGAGAAACAGAGAGAAGACACCUACGCGAAUUCCUUAUUUCUUUCUUUAAAAAGGAUCCUUGGCGGGGAGUUAUCAUCGGCCGGCGAUCCCAACAACGAUUUCGGCGAGGGAGAGUUUUGAGAGAGAAAGCGAACUCUCUCUCUCUCUCUCUCUCUCUCUCUCCAUCUGAUGGUUCUGUUUGCAGCGGGAGAAAGAUAAGGACGCGUUUGGCUUGAAGAGAAAGCUAACCGAAAAUGAAUGGUCGAAGUAAUGCGACAGCUAUUGGAAAUGGAUUUGGGAGUGUAGAGAGUGAAUACAUUAGGAGACACCAUCAGCAUGAUCCUGCUGAUCACCAGUGUAGUUCUGUCCUCGUUAAGCACAUCAAAGCUCCUGUUCCUCUAGUAUGGUCUUUGGUGAGGAGAUUUGAUCAACCACAGAAGUACAAGCCUUUCAUUAGCAGGUGUGUUGCACAGGGGAACCUUCAGAUUGGAAGUGUUAGAGAAAUUGAUGUAAAGUCUGG
rnacentral:misc_RNA from 1 species